GAGUGCAUGGUCUAGUGGUAUGAUUUUCGCUUCGCAUCCGUGUGAAAGGUCCCCGGUUCGAUCCCGGGUGCAUCCA